GAUGGCUGGAUGACCGCGGGCGGCAACGCUCGAGGAAAGUCCGGACUCCAUGAAGGAAGGGUGCCGGAUAACGUCCGGCGGGGGUAACCCCAGGGAAAGCGCCACAGAGAAAAGACUGCCUUGGUGUCAGGCUUCGGUCUGACGGAUCCAGGGUGAUGGUGAAACGGUGGGGUAAGAGCCCACCACGGACUUGGUAACAAGGACGGUAUGGCAAGCCCCACCCGGAGCAAUGCCGAAUAGGGGCCCUGUGUCGUAAGGUCCGCGCUAGCGGAGACCACGGCAGGGACACUUCAGCCCAGGGGCCCGGGUUGGCAGCUUGACUGCUCGUGGUAACACGGGUGGCAGAGGAAUGGUCAUCCAGAGGGGGCAACCCCUUGGACAAAAUCCGGCUUAUAGGCCAUCC
rnacentral:RNase_P_RNA from 1 species